UGGGGAAUAUUGCACAAUGGGCGCAAGCCUGAUGCAGCCAUGCCGCGUGUGUGAAGAAGGCCUUCGGGUUGUAAAGCACUUUCAGCGAGGAGGAAGGGUAGUGUGUUAAUAGCACAUUGCAUUGACGUUACUCGCAGAAGAAGCACCGGCUAACUCCGUGCCAGCAGCCGCGGUAAUACGGAGGGUGCAAGCGUUAAUCGGAAUUACUGGGCGUAAAGCGCACGCAGGCGGUUUGUUAAGUCAGAUGUGAAAUCCCCGCGCUUAACGUGGGAACUGCAUUUGAAACUGGCAAGCUAGAGUCUUGUAGAGGGGGGUAGAAUUCCAGGUGUAGCGGUGAAAUGCGUAGAGAUCUGGAGGAAUACCGGUGGCGAAGGCGGCCCCCCUGGACAA
rnacentral:rRNA from 1 species